GCCAGCCAUACAAACAUGGACAUAAUCAAUGGCCAAAUCUCAUCUGAUCUCCGAAGCUAAGCAAGGUUUGGCUUGGUUAAGUACAUGGAUGGCAGACCACCUGGACAUAACAGGUGCUGUAAGCU
rnacentral:rRNA from 1 species